CGGAGGAUCCGAGCGUUAUCCGGAUUUAUUGGGUUUAAAGGGUGCGUAGGCGGCCUGUUAAGUCAGGGGUGAAAGACGGUAGCUCAACUAUCGCAGUGCCCUUGAUACUGAUGGGCUUGAAUGUACUUGAGGUAGGCGGAAUGUGACAAGUAGCGGUGAAAUGCAUAGAUAUGUCACAGAACACCGAUUGCGAAGGCAGCUUACUAAGGUAUGAUUGACGCUGAGGCACGAAAGCGUGGGGAUCAAACAGGAUUAGAUACCCUGGUAGUCCACGCCCUAAACGAUGAAUACUCGAUGUUGGCGAUAUACGGCCAGCGUCUAAGCGAAAGCGUUAAGUAUUCCACCUGGGGAGUACGCCCGCAAGGGUG
rnacentral:rRNA from 1 species